GAUGAAGAACGCAGCGAAAUGCGAUAAGUAAUGUGAAUUGCAGAAUUCAGUGAAUCAUCGAAUCUUUGAACGCACAUUGCGCCCCCUGGUAUUCCGGGGGGCAUGCCUGUUCGAGCGUCAUUUCACCACUCAAGCCUCGCUUGGUAUUGGGCAACGCGGUCCGUCGCGUGCCUCAAAUCGACCGGCUGGGUCUUCUGUCCCCUAAGCGUUGUGGAAACUUUCGCUAAAGGGUGUUCGGGAGGCUACGCCGUAAAACAACCCCAUUUCUAAGGUUGACCUCGGAUCAGGUAGGGAUACCCGCUGAACUUAAGCAUAUCAAUAAGCGGAGGA
rnacentral:misc_RNA from 1 species